rnacentral:lncRNA from 1 species
GUUAAUCACAGUGCUGGAGGAAGAAAAAAAAAAAACCCAAACAUUGAUUUCUGUCUUGUAUCACUAGAAAAACUGCUCAGUGGUGGCUUGUGAAAAAUCUCACCUCAUCCGGACUGCCAAGGUCAAUGAGACCCAAGUAAUCGACCUGGGAGAUGCUUGCCUAAUUAUCAAACAUUCUGCAAACAGUUUGUGAACAUUUAACCGUUUGCACCUGGAUCCCUCCUUCAACCCAUGCGGCUUCCUAGGGCUGCACCCUCUCCUCUCCACCACCCAGGGCGCCAACACCCCAAAGGGGCAAAUCCUGGGACCCAAGGACAUUUCAAAGAAACAGCGGCGGUCACCUUCCAUUUCAGUUUUACUUAAAAACACUCAGAUGUUUAAAAAUAGGGGAAGGGGAGGGCUCAGAAAUAAGAGGAAAAUCUUUCGCAGUUUUUCCAAUUCAAGUUCUCAGGCACCGUUGAAAGUUCAUUAAUUAGAGAUUUAAAGACAGAAGUGUUUCAUAUACCAAUCAGAUGCCAAGCUUUGCAAACUGUCUUUGUCUUUAGUUGCGGGACGUUUGUAAAAGUCCCCCCAUCCACCCCAUUCUAGAGUUUGCUUCUCUUUCCGCGCCUUUGUUGAACGACCUGACUUUCCCGAAGCAACCAAACCGAGAACUGCCUCACCCGCCCUCUUUUUUUUUCUCCCCCGGCAAAACGAAAUAAAUAAAAAUGCCCCGGAGAGAAGUGGGAGAAAUCAUGCCACAAAGCCAAGUUCCGCGGGAGUCGAGCCCCCGUGUUGCCCGCGGCGGGGCCGGGAGCGCGGGGCGGGAGAAGGUCCCUACCUGGGGCCGGGCAGCAGCGGCGGUGUCGCGGCGCCCAUGACUUCGCCGGCUUCGGGCGGCCGCGCGGGGAAACGCCAGCGGCUCAGCAGCGCCUGGACCCGCGAGCUCGCUGCGGCCGCCCCGGCGCUGUCAUUGGACCGAUGAGUCACGUGGUCUGGCCGGCGGGCGAGCCCCUCCGGCCGGCGCAACCCCUCACCUGCGCGCCCCGCUUCGCGCAGAGGCCCCGGGAGCGCGACAGCAGACUUCCCGAGCCCGGACUGGGCUGCAGGACGCACCGGAGAAGAAAAUCCCGGAGUUCGGCCUCUGAUCCCCGAUACUCAGGCUGCCAGGCAGCCGGCGCCGCGAAACUUUGGUGCCGGCUUUUCCGCCGUGCUGCUGGGAGAGGGGAGCUUCCUCAGAUUCGGCGUGAGUCAGGGAGAUCACAUGGAAUGCCAAAAAACGUGGAGACCCUCAUGAAAAAUACAGAAGAAAAACCUAUGGUUUCUCAUGCAUAUAGAAACGAAACACCAUGA